AAAAAGAAGGGACCGCGCUGGAAACAUGAGUGGAUUAAAAGGAUCAGCCCUUUUUAAAUUAAUAGUCGAAUUGGUAACCAGCUAGAAGUCGUAACCUGCUCGUAUGAAAGGAUUUCUCAACGUCAAAUUGUUAAUUUUAUUCAACAACGCCAAGAAACAGAGCUCGCUCAAGAAACAG
rnacentral:lncRNA from 1 species